rnacentral:lncRNA from 1 species
GGGGUGUGCGGGCCGGGCCGGGCUUAGUGGGGUGGGGGAGCCCAGCGUUAGGGAGGGCUGCGUGCGGCCAAACAGUGCAGCCAGCAGAAGCAGGGAGGUGAUCGCCCCUCUGUGCUCCUCACUGCUAAGACCACACUUGGAGUGCUGUGUUCGGUUUUGGGCCCCCACUGCAGGAAGGGCGUUGAGGCUCUGGAGUAUGUCCAGAGAAGGGCAACAAAGCUGUGAGGGGACUGGAGCGCAGGUCUGAUGGAAGAGGCUGAGGGAGCUGGGAUUGUUCGGUGUGGAGGAGGCUCAGGGGAGACCUGAUUGCUCUCUACAGCUGCCUGAAAGGAGGCUGUGGUGAGGUGGGGGUCAGCCUCUUCUCCCAGGUAACAGUGAUGGGAUGAGUGGAAAUGGCCUCAUACUGCACCAGGGGAGGUUCAGGUUGGAUAUUAUGAAGAAUUUCUUCUCAGAAAUAGUGAGGCAGUGGCACAGGCUGCCCAGGGAGGUGGUGCAGUCGCCAUCCCUGGGUGUGUUCAAGAACUGUAUGGAUGUGGCACUGAGGGACAUGGUCUGUGAGCAGUCUCAGGCAUGGGCUGAUGGUUGGACGAGGUGAUCUUAGUGCUCGUUUCCAACCUUAAUGAUCUAUAAUCCUAUGAUUGAUCUGAAGAUGCCUUCUGGCUGCAGGAUCUUUAUGCACACAGAGGUGUUGGGCUUUCUUUCAGAGCAGCUGAGGAACACUCUGUGGAAGCCCAUGGUUGGUAAACACCAUUUGGUAGGCCGAUCCCCAGCGUUAUCUGUCUGCACUGUCACCUGUGGCCAGCACUGACGGAGACAUCCUAGGAACAUGGGUUGCUGCAGGUGGUCUGUGGGAGUGCGACCACCACAGUGAGCCACAGGCAGACACACCAGGGCCUGGAAGGUGCAGCAGCCCUCUGAGGGCUGAAACUGGGGAUUUAGCUGGCAUCUCCCGAAGAACCCAGAGUGUCUGUGGUGUAGAAGGCAUUGUAAAAGGCAAACACUGAAAGACACUGGAAAUGGAAAGUAUGAGAAGGCACAGUGUUUCAAGAACGAGCCAGCAGGUGAUAGCUUCCUUCAGCGUUCAGGAAUUCUCAUUAGUGAAGCAUUUCUAAGUGGCAACUCAGUAAAACUGUUUUCCAUAUGUCUGGUGGCUGUUGUCCUCGAAUUGUUUACUGCUGCUCUCCUGCUGGCUAACAAAGGAUGGGCUUGCAGUGUUACCUUUCAGCAGGGGACUGAACGAGCUGGAGAGGGAGGAGGAGGAUGCAGUUUCUCCCAGCAGUACGGGAAAUGUGAAUUACCCAAAGGAACCGCUGCUUAUGCUUGACUGUGCCUCCCUCACAGUGUAAGUGUGUCACAACACAGGCUCCACGGGGGUGCUUUGAAGGUGUGCCUUGGCUCGGGAUCAGUGGAGCCUCUGCAUACUCAAAGGCACGGGUGACUUUGCUUUGAGGUGGCAGAAAAAAUGUGGCAGCGUUUUGCAAACAUGAGCUGCGAGUCAUCAGAAUGAGCUGCCGGUUACUCAAUGGGGUAUGAUAUACAGAUACACGGUGUGAGGGGAAAAAAAAAAGUUAGACCACUAGCAAACCACACUUGACAUCUCAUAACAUUUAACUCAGUGUCUCAAUCAUAAAUAAACGAUUUUACACUUCUUACUAUCUUUUGUGUGUGUGUGUGUGUGUGUGUGUGUGGUUACGUGUUUUUGUACUGGCUGCACUCCUGUGUUAUUCCUUUUAAAAACAAGAGCUGAGAUGGUAAGGAAAACUGUGCAUUGGUUUGUGUAGAGACCAGCUUCAGCUGCCUUGCAAAUAAAAAGUGUGCUGAUUGUUCAACACUGCCGAGCUUCCCCCCAAUGCCAGAGCCACUGUGAGCUGCCUCUGUUGCUGUGAGCGUGGAUCCAUUGUUAGCAGCACUGAAGCACUGUCUUCAAACUUCC